GUUAAGCGACUAAGCGUACACGGUGGAUGCCCUGGCAGUCAGAGGCGAUGAAGGACGUGCUAAUCUGCGAUAAGCGUCGGUGAGGUGAUAUGAACCGUUAUAACCGGCGAUUUCCGAAUGGGGAAACCCAGUGUGUUUCGACACACUAUCAUUAACUGAAUCCAUAGGUUAAUGAGGCGAACCGGGGGAACUGAAACAUCUAAGUACCCCGAGGAAAAGAAAUCAACCGAGAUUCCCCCAGUAGCGGCGAGCGAACGGGGAGGAGCCCAGAGCCUGAAUCAGUGUGUGUGUUAGUGGAAGCGUCUGGAAAGGCGCGCGAUACAGGGUGACAGCCCCGUACACAAAAAUGCACAUAUUGUGAGCUCGAUGAGUAGGGCGGGACACGUGGUAUCCUGUCUGAAUAUGGGGGGACCAUCCUCCAAGGCUAAAUACUCCUGACUGACCGAUAGUGAACCAGUACCGUGAGGGAAAGGCGAAAAGAACCCCGGCGAGGGGAGUGAAAAAGAACCUGAAACCGUGUACGUACAAGCAGUGGGAGCCUCUUAAUGGGGUGACUGCGUACCUUUUGUAUAAUGGGUCAGCGACUUAUAUUCUGUAGCAAGGUUAACCGAAUAGGGGAGCCGAAGGGAAACCGAGUCUUAACUGGGCGUUAAGUUGCAGGGUAUAGACCCGAAACCCGGUGAUCUAGCCAUGGGCAGGUUGAAGGUUGGGUAACACUAACUGGAGGACCGAACCGACUAAUGUUGAAAAAUUAGCGGAUGACUUGUGGCUGGGGGUGAAAGGCCAAUCAAACCGGGAGAUAGCUGGUUCUCCCCGAAAGCUAUUUAGGUAGCGCCUCGUGAAUUCAUCUCCGGGGGUAGAGCACUGUUUCGGCAAGGGGGUCAUCCCGACUUACCAACCCGAUGCAAACUGCGAAUACCGGAGAAUGUUAUCACGGGAGACACACGGCGGGUGCUAACGUCCGUCGUGAAGAGGGAAACAACCCAGACCGCCAGCUAAGGUCCCAAAGUCAUGGUUAAGUGGGAAACGAUGUGGGAAGGCCCAGACAGCCAGGAUGUUGGCUUAGAAGCAGCCAUCAUUUAAAGAAAGCGUAAUAGCUCACUGGUCGAGUCGGCCUGCGCGGAAGAUGUAACGGGGCUAAACCAUGCACCGAAGCUGCGGCAGCGACGCUUAUGCGUUGUUGGGUA
rnacentral:rRNA from 1 species